ensembl:lncRNA
UUGGUUAUUCCAUUACAAAGAGACUUCUGUGAAGAUAACACCAAGGCAUGACAAUCCUUGGCAUUAAUGAGGGGGCCGUGCUGAUGCUUGUGUCUUCAGCCUCACUCAGCAUGCUAUGUCUUCUGUGUCUCAAGUGCAAAAAGAAAUCCAAAAUCAUCCAACAGGAUUCCUCGAUAUAUGACCCUCAGAUAUUCCAACGUGAAGGCAGCCGAUUUGCUGUCACACGCUCAAAGACAGUAACGCGGCCCAAUCAAAUGAAAACACAGAACCAAGAGGAAACUGAAGUGAGACAUUCCCAUAUCUCUCAAUCUGCAAAUGAAGAUUACACAUUUGUCAUUGGUGACCAAGAGGGCUUUGACGCUACAUAUGUCUCCCCACUUCCAAUUGCAGUGUAUGGAAACAUUGAGGAAAUGAAACAAGCAGCAUCUGAUGACCCAGACUAUGUGAAUACCCAACAGGGUGCUUGCUGAUAUGAACACCACCAGAUAGAGGAGGAAUUCUCAUGGCUCAAUAAGCAGGAGGAGCCAAACAUAGUCUCUGCUAUUCAUAGCAGAGACCUGUGUUAAUGACAGAGAGCCUCACCGGUCAAACUCCAAUGAAAAAGGCUUACAAGAAAAGUAAAAAUAAUAAUAAAUAUUCAAUAUUUAUCUAUGAUCUUUGUAACAAAUGUAUCUUUGUAUGAUUCAUUUCAGAAAAAAAGGUGUUCCAAGAAGUGAGAAAAUCUUAACUUUUUCUGAUAUGCCAUUAGAAGAUACAUCUGUUAAUAAAUAUUUAGGAUUUCCAUUCGAUGAAUUUAUGAAUUAUGAAAAUGGAAUUAAACUCCUGGCUGAUUCAGCUGGUAGAGCUUUGGUUCCGUUGUUAACAAGUUAAAAAUAGGUAAAGACCUUGGUUAUUCUACUUACUCUCAAUUUUAUGAUGCAUGUGUUUCUCCAAUUGUGAAUUAUGCUGCUGGGGUAUGGGGAUUUAAAGAAAGAAAGAUCUCAGAUGCAGUACAAAACAGAGCAAUACGUUGUUUUCUGGGUAUUCAUAUAUAUGUUCCCUCUUUGGCUCUUUUGGGUUGGAUUCCUGCUACAAUAAGGAGAAAGGUUGAUAUGAUUAGACUGUGGAAUCGUUGUGUUAAUAUGUCCGAUGACAGGAUCAAUAAGAAAGUUUUCCUUUGGAGUAAAGUCCAGAACUCUCCAUGGGCCGCAGAGAUUCAUGCUGUCUUUGAAGAAGCCGAAUUUCAGUAUAUCUAUAGAAAUAAUUGAUCAUGCAGCAUAAACAAAAUGAGAAAAAAGUUACUUGUCGGGUACAAUGAAAAAUGGUUAAAUGAUAUAAUGUUAAAACCGAAAUUACGGACAUACAUCCAAAUCAAGCAUAAUUAUGAAACAGAAUUAUAUGUUAAAACAAAUUUACCAAUAAAUCAGAGAUCCUAGAUUGCCCAAUUAAGAAUGGGAAUCCUUCCCCUGGCACUUGAGGUCGGCAGAUUUAAAAAUAUCCCAGAGGAACAGAGACUUUGUGAACUUUGUGAUUUACAAGAAGUGGAUAAUGAAUCUCAUUUUCAUUUAUACUGUCCCUUCUGUGAUGAACUAAGAGUACCUUUUGUAAAUGAACUGUUUGCUCAAAACCCUGAAAUAUUUUGGAGUAAUGAUGUCAGGAUGGAAUGUUUGUUUACCUUUAAUGUUUAUAAGUUAGCCUCUUUUGUUACUAAAGCCUGGAUGAAACGUCAGGAUGGUUAAUAUCGUUAAUGUUAGUAUUGUUAAGCAUCUAUGUUUUAUGUUAAGCAUGUUUUAUGAUGGUGUCUUGUAAGCCCUUGUGGGCUGGGCAUGCUAAUGCAUGAAACAAUAAAAAAAAAUAAAAAAAUAAAAAAUGCAAUCAUUUUUAAUAGUCAAAUUUGAGAAAUGUGCAGAGCUCCAAUGCUAAUACAGAAGAAAUGAUUCAGCGGUGAGCUCAGCCUCCCCUCUGAUUCGCAGUGGAGUGGGGCGAUAGGCGCCUGCCUGUCACUCUCUUUCUGUAGGUCAACAAUGUUGGGCUGGUGGACCCCGUCAUUACUUGUCCUCGCUUUCCAUAUUCCAGGUAAUUUAUGCCAUGUGUGUAUUAUAUAUUCAGGCUCGCUGACCUCUUCAUGGGCUGUGGAGCCCAUGAUAAACCAUGAAAGACCAAUGCUGAGCUUGAGGAAAUACUUCCAACUCAUUUUUCACUGUUGCAUGAGUAGUAUGAGUAGUGGAACUACAUUUGCAUAUAAAACAUGA